GAAGGAGUCAUCUUCUCCCCCAAUGCUUGUCACUUGGCCUCUGGCCAUCAAGCUGGAUGCCAUGUUCCAGGCAGUAGAGCUCCCAGCAGGCAUUGCCGAUCUGGACACCAGCCUGGCCGACGUGGAUGGAGAUGAACUCACACAUGAUAGCUACGGGUUAGAAGGGCAUAGAAGAAUCAUGAGAGGACUCAGCUGGAGGCUUCCUCCUUGCUGAUAGCUUUCAUAGAGCCAGGGGGUGAUGUGCAGGCUUCCAGGAGAGAAUUGUCACCGACGUCUCACCCAGCUGCUGACCCUGUGAGCUAUACUGCUAACCUGCUAGGCAUGAUAUGCCCGCGGGUGUGAUGGUGGCACAGAGGUAUGUGGUAACCAGUUACUUUCUGGUUGGAUUUAAGGCCUUUUCUCCAGGGGAGAAAUCAUGCCUGCUACUGUGAACCUGGUCGCAAGCCCAUGGCUGGGCACUCAGAGUUCUUAGUGGGCUACUGCUGGGUUUUUUGCUCAGUAGAGUAACUCUUUUCUUGUUUUCAUUGUUGGGAAGCACACACGGUUUCAAAGUUCCAUCACUUGGCCACACAACUAGGGGGUGGGGUUGCUGUCUAGCUAAGGUGCAGGGGUGAUGCCCUCUCCCCUGCUGAAGCUCAGAUGGCCUCCUCGGGGAAGGAGUGCAGCUAGAAAGAAAACUCGGGUCUCCUUACUGGCACUGUGGAACACCUCCCAAGACCACACUUCCUCCCUGGUUUUCAAGGAUUCAUCAGAGCAAGAGGGUGCUGUCCGGAUGGGUCCCUCCACAAGCUCCAGUCAGAGAUGACUCCAUUCAGGUAAGAGCUCUGGUUCUGGACCAAGUGAUGCUUGCGUCUUCUCCUGGAGGGUGGGGUGUGCAGUUACUCCUGUUGCCUUCGGAGAUGGCUGAUGAUGCUACGCCAUGAAGCCUGCUGCAAUGAGGCGACGGCAGUAAAACGUGGGUGAAGGAUAAACAAGAAGUGAGUAGGUCAGGAUAGCCUUUCUGGAGCUCCUACAACUCCCGUUUGGCUUAUGCACCAUUUAGACUUAAGGGAGAAGAGAAAUAAAUCACCUUUUCUUUCCUGAUGUUGAGGGUACAUUUUUUUUCCUUUUGGUUUCCUUUUAUAUACCUGUGGUAUCGGGGGCAACUCACCAGCCAAUAGGACAAUGACCAGGCUCCAUCUCGGGCUUCCAGGUCACAGAACCCAGGGCAUCUACCUGCCAUGUUCUUUCCCACCUGGCACAUGUCCAUGUAUCUGCAGCCAGGGAAGCCGUUGGCUCUAGCACAAUCACUGGAACAGCAAGCCUGGCACAAGCCUCCGUCUCUGUGUGGCCUGGGUUUGUUGUGACAGUUACCCAUUCAAGUGGAGUCAGAUUAAAAUGACCAAAGGGUCCACUGUACCCUAGGCUCCCAAGGGAGUUCGAAAUGGCCUAAGAAGUGACUGAGAAGGACCUUUGAGGAGAGAGUAGUUUGCCUCCCCAGAGUUGAGGGGAGUCAGACAGAGCCUCUGCCCCCCAACCCCACGCUCCCAGCUGCACACCUGCACCCUUUAUUGUGGGGAUGCCACAUAGGGCAGCUCUCUACCCUACAACACCCCAAACCUUUGUGCUUGUUGGAGCAGAGGAAGGGAGCACAGAGAGGCAGACACACCCAUCUCAGUUCCCAGCCCCCAGCAAGUGUCUGGGCCAUCUCAGGCUCGCUCUGUCCUCUCUGCCUUUUCUGUCCCACUGUCCUGUCACCUCCAAAGCUGCUUGAGUACAGCUUAACCCAGAUCAGCACCCACACACGUCAUUAGUGCACAGCAAGAAUCAACAUCAAGCAAGGACCAUGUUUAAAAUACAGGCCGAUAGGGGUUUGAUCCUUAUUAUCUGAGAGCUUAGGCUUGCUUUGGACUUUUUUGAGGAUCAAAUGUAUCCCAGGUUGGCCCUGAACUAGGAUGGCAGGCUUACAGGCUUAGACCAACCACGGCCGGUUUAGAGAGAGAUCCUUCUCUUCUCUUCUCUUCUCUUCUCUUCUCUUCUCUUCUCUUCUUUUCUCAUUUUUCCUCAUCUCUUCUUUUCUUUUUCUUCUCUGCGUUGUACCUACAGCUUCAUAUAGCAAGUUCUCGACCUCUUAGUUGUAUCCUUAACUUCAGAAAACUUUAAAAAUUGAUCUUGACAAAUAUAAUAUGAUUCUACUUAUAGAAGGUACCCAGAGGUCAAAUUGAUGGAAACAAACAAACAAAAAAUACAGCAGAGAUCAGAACCCCAGUCAGUGUUUGAUGAGUUUGAGUUUAUAGUUUAGGGAGUUGCAAACUGUGAGAGACCGAAACAAAUAGAAAAGGAAAAAGAAACGAAGGAAGGAAGGAAGGAAGGAAGGAAGGAA
ensembl:lncRNA